AGUCGAGCGGACUUUUAAAGCUUGCUUUUGAAAGGUCAGCGGCGGACGGGUGAGUAACACGUGGGCAACCUGCCUGUAAGACUGGGAUAACUUCGGGAAACCGGAGCUAAUACCGGAUAAUAUAAGGAACCUCCUGGUUCUUUAUUGAAAGAUGGUUUCGGCUAUCACUUACAGAUGGGCCCGCGGCGCAUUAGCUAGUUGGUGAGGUAACGGCUCACCAAGGCGACGAUGCGUAGCCGACCUGAGAGGGUGAUCGGCCACACUGGGACUGAGACACGGCCCAGACUCCUACGGGAGGCAGCAGUAGGGAAUCUUCCACAAUGGACGAAAGUCUGAUGGAGCAACGCCGCGUGAGCGAUGAAGGCCUUCGGGUCGUAAAGCUCUGUUGUUAGGGAAGAACAAGUGCGAGAGUAACUGCUCGCACCUUGACGGUACCUAACCAGAAAGCCACGGCUAACUACGUGCCAGCAGCCGCGGUAAUACGUAGGUGGCAAGCGUUGUCCGGAAUUAUUGGGCGUAAAGCGCGCGCAGGUGGUCCUUUAAGUCUGAUGUGAAAGCCCACGGCUCAACCGUGGAGGGUCAUUGGAAA
rnacentral:rRNA from 1 species